rnacentral:rRNA from 1 species
AGUGAACGCUGGCGGUAGGCCUAACACAUGCAAGUCGAACGGCAGCACAGUAAGAGCUUGCUCUUACGGGUGGCGAGUGGCGGACGGGUGAGGAAUACAUCGGAAUCUACUUUUUCGUGGGGGAUAACGUAGGGAAACUUACGCUAAUACCGCAUACGACCUACGGGUGAAAGCAGGGGAUCUUCGGACCUUGCGCGAUUGAAUGAGCCGAUGUCGGAUUAGCUAGUUGGCGGGGUAAAGGCCCACCAAGGCGACGAUCCGUAGCUGGUCUGAGAGGAUGAUCAGCCACACUGGAACUGAGACACGGUCCAGACUCCUACGGGAGGCAGCAGUGGGGAAUAUUGGACAAUGGGCGCAAGCCUGAUCCAGCCAUACCGCGUGGGUGAAGAAGGCCUCCGGGUUGUAAAGCCCUUUUGUUGGGAAAGAAAAGCAGCAGGUUAAUACCCCGCUGUUCUGACGGUACCCAAAGAAUAAACACCGGCUAACUUCGUG